rnacentral:rRNA from 1 species
AUUGAACGCUGGCGGCAUGCUUUACACAUGCAAGUCGAACGGUAACAGGCCGCAAGGUGCUGACGAGUGGCGAACGGGUGAGUAAUGCAUCGGAACGUGCCCAGUCGUGGGGGAUAACUACUCGAAAGAGUAGCUAAUACCGCAUACGAUCUAUGGAUGAAAGCGGGGGACCGUAAGGCCUCGCGCGAUUGGAGCGGCCGAUGUCAGAUUAGGUAGUUGGUGGGGUAAAGGCUCACCAAGCCAACGAUCUGUAGCUGGUCUGAGAGGACGACCAGCCACACUGGGACUGAGAAACGGCCCAGACUCCUACGGGAGGCAGCAGUGGGGAAUUUUGGGCAAUGGGCGCAAGCCUGAUCCAGCAAUGCCGCGUGCAGGAAGAAGGCCUUCGGGUUGUAAACUGCUUUUGUACGGAACGAAACGGCUCUGGUUAAUACCCGGGGCUAAUGACGGUACCGUAAGAAUAAGCACCGGCUAACUACGUG